rnacentral:pre_miRNA from 1 species
UUAACUAAAAUUUGUAUGGAGUUGAAAAGUUUGCCUACGUUUGCCGCUAGGGGCGCUGUUCCAACUGCAUACAUAUGUUUAUCA